ACGACACGCACGUAACUGAUCUCCUUUUUCAUUCAGAACAAUUUUCUUUUGUUUAUUCAAUUGUUGUUCGAUGAAAUUUUUACUAUAAAAACGAGCGUGAUCGCCAACAACAAUCCAUUCACAUUCGAAUCGUAGUGGAUUGACACGAACAACUAUCUCGAACACAUACCAUGAAAAAUUUCAUCGUUUUAUUCUUUGCUGGACUUGUCGCAUCCACUUAUGGCCUAGGAGAAAUAGGUUUAACCGAUAAUCUGAUUGGAGGAGCCCUUGGUGGUGGAGACGCAGCUGGGGCAGCAAUAAGUGCAGCAAAUGGAAAAACGCCUGGAUUAACGUCGGGACCGAUAGUUUCUGUACCGAAGACUCUUGGCAUUGGCGGAAAUAAAGAAUGCAUUAAGUUGUGUCCAACAAAAAUAGCGGACGAAAGCGUAAAAUGCGUUAAGCCAACUGAUUUCCCAGGAAUUCCUAUGUGCUACCAGAUAAAUCCAAGAAACAUAUAUAUCUGGCCAUGCGUCAAUGACAGAGAAGGUAAUGACGAUGACUAACAUGGAAAAUGAUUUGUUUCUGCAUCCGGUACUGUUCAUAAAUUUGAUUUUUUUUAUUAUUUUCUACGAAUAUAUUUUAUUAUGCACGAAGACACUCCUAUAUUGAUAUCCUGUAUUUACUCUCGAUUGUUUUAAUAAUUUUCUUUUAAAAUAAAGUGGAAAUCUAAGUUUAAAACAGA